AGAGUUUGAUCAUGGCUCAGGAUGAACGCUGGCGGCGUGCUUAACACAUGCAAGUCGAACGAAGCACUUUAUUUGAUUUCUUCGGAAUGAAGAUUUUGUGACUGAGUGGCGGACGGGUGAGUAACGCGUGGGUAACCUGCCUCAUACAGGGGGAUAACAGUUGGAAACGACUGCUAAUACCGCAUAAGCGCACAGGGUCGCAUGACCUGGUGUGAAAAACUCCGGUGGUAUGAGAUGGACCCGCGUCUGAUUAGCCAGUUGGUGGGGUAACGGCCUACCAAAGCGACGAUCAGUAGCCGACCUGAGAGGGUGACCGGCCACAUUGGAACUGAGACACGGUCCAGACUCCUACGGGAGGCAGCAGUGGGGAAUCUUCCGCAAUGGGCGCAAGCCUGACGGAGCAACGCCGCGUGAGUGAAGAAGGGUUUCGACUCGUAAAGCUCUGUUGUCGGGGACGAACGUGGAGACGGCGAAUAGCCGUUUCCAAUGACGGUACCUGACGAGGAAGCCACGGCUAACUACGUGCCAGCAGCCGCGGUAAUACGUAGGUGGCGAGCGUUGUCCGGAAUUAUUGGGCGUAAAGGGAGCGCAGGCGGGAAGGUAAGUCUAUCUUAAAAGUGCGGGGCUCAACCCCGUGAGGGGAUGGAAACUAUCUUUCUUGAGUGCAGGAGAGGAAAGCGGAAUUCCUAGUGUAGCGGUGAAAUGCGUAGAUAUUAGGAGGAACACCAGUGGCGAAGGCGGCUUUCUGGACUGUAACUGACGCUGAGGCUCGAAAGCGUGGGGAGCGAACAGGAUUAGAUACCCUGGUAGUCCACGCCGUAAACGAUGAAUGCUAGGUGUAGGAGGUAUCGACCCCUUCUGUGCCGGAGUUAACGCAAUAAGCAUUCCGCCUGGGGAGUACGGCCGCAAGGCUGAAACUCAAAGGAAUUGACGGGGGCCCGCACAAGCGGUGGAGUAUGUGGUUUAAUUCGACGCAACGCGAAGAACCUUACCAGGGCUUGACAUUGGGUGAAAGGACAAGAGAUUGUCCCCUCUCUUCGGAGACACGAAAACAGGUGGUGCAUGGCUGUCGUCAGCUCGUGUCGUGAGAUGUUGGGUUAAGUCCCGCAGCGAGCGCAACCCCUAUUCUUCGUUGCCAGCACGUUAUGGUGGGAACUCAAAGGGGACUGCCGCGGACAACGCGGAGGAAGGCGGGGAUGACGUCAAGUCAUCAUGCCCCUUAUGUCCUGGGCUACACACGUACUACAAUGGGAUGGACAGAGAGUAGCGAAGCCGCGAGGCCAAGCGAACCCCAUAAACCAUCUCCCAGUUCGGAUUGCAGGCUGCAACCCGCCUGCAUGAAGUUGGAAUCGCUAGUAAUCGCAGGUCAGCAUACUGCGGUGAAUACGUUCCCGGGCCUUGUACACACCGCCCGUCACACCACGGAAGUCAUUCACACCCGAAGCCGGCAGGCUAACCUUUAUGGAGGCAGCCGUCUAAGGUGGGGGCGAUGACUGGGGUGAAGUCGUAACAAGGUA
rnacentral:rRNA from 1 species